rnacentral:rRNA from 1 species
GUAGGUGGCAAGCGUUGUCCGGAAUUAUUGGGCGUAAAGCGCGCGCAGGCGGUUCUUUAAGUCUGAUGUGAAAGCCCACGGCUCAACCGUGGAGGGUCAUUGGAAACUGGAGAACUUGAGUACAGAAGAGGAAAGCGGAAUUCCACGUGUAGCGGUGAAAUGCGUAGAGAUGUGGAGGAACACCAGUGGCGAAGGCGGCUUUCUGGUCUGUAACUGACGCUGAGGCGCGAAAGCGUGGGGAGCGAAACAGGAUUAGAUACCCUGGUAGUCCACGCCGUAAACGAUGAGUGCUAAGUGUUAGGGGGGUUUUCCGCCCCCCUUAGUGCUGCAGCUAACGCAUUAAGCACUCCGCCCUGGGAUACGGCCGCAAGGCUG